AGCCUGAGAAACGGCUACCACAUCCAAGGAAGGCAGCAGGCGCGCAAAUUACCCACUCCCGGCACGGGGAGGUAGUGACGAAAAAUAACGAUACGGGACUCAUCCGAGGCCCCGUAAUCGGAAUGAGUACACUUUAAAUCCUUUAACAAGGAUCAAUUGGAGGGCAAGUCUGGUGCCAGCAGCCGCGGUAAUUCCAGCUCCAAUAGCGUAUAUUAAAGUUGUUGCGGUUAAAAAAAGACGGACUGAAGCGAAAGCAUUUGCCAAAUGUGUUUUCAUCAAUCAAGAACGAAAGUUAGAGGUUCGAAGGCGAUCAGAUACCGCCCUAGUUCUAACCAUAAACGAUGCCAGCUAGCGAUCCGCCGAAGUUCCUCCGAUGACUCGGCGGGCAGCUUCCGGGAAACCAAAGCUUUUGGGUUCCGGGGGAAGUAUGGUUGCAAAGCUGAAACUUAAAGGAAUUGACGGAAGGGCACCACCAGGAGUGGAGCCUGCGGCUUAAUUUGACUCAACACGGGAAACCUCACCAGGCCCGGACACCGGAANGGAUUGACAGAUUGAGAGCUCUUUCUUGAUUCGGUGGGUGGUGGUGCAUGGCCGUUCUUAGUCGGUGAGGCGACUUGUCAGGUUAAUUNCCGAUAACGGACGAGACUCUAACCUGCUAAAUAGGCGUACUUUCCGGUAUCNNUCGAAGGCCCGCCGGCUCGGCUUCGGUCGUUGUCGUGUGUGGUUUUUACUACCGGCGUACACAUAUAUCUUCUUAGAGGGACAGGUGGCGUUUAGUCGCACGAGAUUGAGCAAUAACAGGUCUGUGAUGCCC
rnacentral:rRNA from 1 species